rnacentral:rRNA from 1 species
GUGUCAGCAGCCGCGGUAAAACGUAGGACGCGAGCGUUAUCCGGAGUUACUGGGCGUAAAGGGCGGGCAGGCGGCCUGGCAAGAUGGGCGUGAAAUCUCCCGGCUCAACCGGGAGGGGCCGCUCGUGACUGCGAGGCUGGAGGGUGACAGAGGCGCGUGGAAUUCCGGGUGGAGUGGUGAAAUGCGUAGAGAUCCGGAGGAACACCAGAGGCGAAGGCGGCGCGCUGGGUCACAACUGACGCUGAACCGCGAAAGCCAGGGCAGCGAACGGGAUUAGAAACCCGCGUAGUCC